rfam:Triticum aestivum genome assembly, contig: Triticum_aestivum_CS42_TGACv1_scaffold_146380_2BS
GUAGUACUCCCUCCGUCCUAAAAUACUUGUCGGCGGAAUGGAUAAAAUUGGAUGUAUCUAUAACUAAAAUACAUCUAGGUUCAUUCAUUUCUUCGACAAGUAUUUCAGGACGGAGGGAGUAGAUG